UUUAUUGUUUACAUUUAUUAUUUGCAUUAAUGUUUGCAUUCAUUCAUAUUCAUCUGCUGGUUGUGCUGUGUUCUCUCUGUUUGGGGUGGGAGUUACUUGAGGUAAAAGGCCCAAUACCCAGGCUAUGAGUGAAAUCUAGGAAACCUAGGAAUAGAGUGAUUCAUGGGAAGCGGGUGGUAUGCGCCACUUAGCGGAACAUUGAU
rnacentral:lncRNA from 1 species